CCAGACUCCUACGGGAGGCAGCAGUGAGGAAUAUUGGUCAAUGGUCGGGAGACUGAACCAGCCAAGCCGCGUGAGGGAUGAAGGUACAGAGUAUCGUAAACCUCUUUUGUCAGGGAACAAAGGCGGGGACGCGUCCCCGGAUGAGUGUACCUGAAGAAAAAGCAUCGGCUAACUCCGUGCCAGCAGCCGCGGUAAUACGGAGGAUGCGAGCGUUAUCCGGAUUUAUUGGGUUUAAAGGGUGCGUAGGCGGGAUGCCAAGUCAGCGGUCAAAUGCGGGGGCUCAACCUGCGUCCGCCGUUGAAACUGGCGUUCUUGAGUGGGCGAGAAGUACGCGGAAUGCGUGGUGUAGCGGUGAAAUGCAUAGAUAUCACGCAGAACCCCGAUUGCGAAGGCAGCAUGCCGGCUCCACACUGACGCUGAGGCACGAAAGCGUGGGUAUCGAACAGGAUUAGAUACCC
rnacentral:rRNA from 1 species